GAUUACAGAGAAGAUUAGCAUAGCCCCUGCGCAAGGAUGACACGCAAAUUUGUGAAGCGUUCCAUAUUUUU
rnacentral:snRNA from 1 species